ACUCCUACGGGAGGCAGCAGUAGGGAAUCCUCCACAAUGGACGAAAGUCUGAUGGAGCAACGCCGCGUGAACGAUGAAGGCUUUCGGGUCGUAAAGUUCUGUUGUAAGGGAAGAACAAGUGCCGCAGGCAAUGGCGGCACCUUGACGGUACCUUGCGAGAAAGCCACGGCUAACUACGUGCCAGCAGCCGCGGUAAUACGUAGGUGGCAAGCGUUGUCCGGAAUUAUUGGGCGUAAAGCGCGCGCAGGCGGCCUCUUAAGUCUGAUGUGAAAGCCCCGGCUCAACCGGGGGAGGGCCAUUGGAAACUGGGAGGCUUGAGUAUAGGAGAGAAGAGUGGAAUUCCACGUGUAGCGGUGAAAUGCGUAGAGAUGUGGAGGAACACCAGUGGCGAAGGCGACUCUUUGGCCUAUAACUGACGCUGAGGCGCGAAAGCGUGGGGAGCAAACA
rnacentral:rRNA from 1 species